GGGAGAGACAGAGACAGGAAGUCGCCUCGAGCCCCCAACCUUUCCCCCUUCCUCUUCCAAAACACGCAACCUCAACACGCAACCUCUGGUCAUUCCCAUUCCUGGCCAUCGGGAGGAGGCAGCAGAGCAGCGGUCAGCGGCUAGGAAGGUAGGGCGCAAGAGAAGGAGAAGGUGGGGCGUAGGAGAAGCAGGAGGGGACACGGCUGCAAGCACGCCACCAGUCAUGUAUCUCGACUUCUCGAGGGAAGAUUGGGUGGGAGGAGAAGGCGGCGGCGACGGUUUCGAUUUGUGAUCUGCUACAGGCGCCGCCACAGGGAUGGAUGCCAGGAUCUGAGGGAGCAGGAACCGACGUCGUCGUCUGGGAGGCAGCCAAGGAUGGAGGUCACUCUUAGUUCAUCUUCCUCUUUGCUCCGUCUCCUGAUGGCUGUCAUGGAGGUUGCUAUUAAGUGAGCAGGUAGUUUGUCAUUGUUCGUGAAUCAUCUGUUUAGUCUUUCUCUUCACUUAAUCGAUGUUCAGCUUUAUAAUAAGUAAACUAUGGUAUGGUGAGUACCUCUCAAUACUCGAUGGCUUCCCUUAUUUAGACUGUUGAUUUAUUUUCGAAUAAUAGGCCCCUGUUCCAGUUCAAAAGGGAAUCAUGUAGCAGCAGCAAUUAAUAUGCUUUUCAGUUUUAUUAUAAGUAAAUUUCAAAAUAAAUGUGUCAUAACAUAAGUAUUGAGUCUAUGAUUGUAUAUAUGUAUCGAACCUUAAUGAACUGGUUUGGUUGAUAUUAUUUUAAAUUUAGUUUCAGAUACUACCGAAUUUCUGAUUUUCGGUUACAUAUAAUUAUGAUAUAUGUUGCAUCAUCUUUGUGUUCAGACUUCAGAUAUGUCAGCAAGCCACUUUCGAGCCUUGCUCAUUUACAUCAGUAUUUGUUUUCACAUUAGUGCACCAUGGUCUUUUUGUCUUUCAUUUCUACCUAAAGAGCAACAAUCAGGUGACUUCCCUUUCCUCCUUUUCUCUUGUUUUAAAACUCUUAAUGUUCAAACCAUUGCAACUUCGUAAUCAUCCAAUCUUUCACCUUUGCAGACUUUCUAUGAGAACUUCAGGUAUCAGUGCGACAAACGGGCUAACCCAUAUAACAUGAUUGCUUGGAGCUGACAUAGAGGUUAAUUAAAUUAAUCUUUAGCUCUUCUCUUGUCGUGUUUUCAUUAAUCAACCUUAAGGUAAAUUCUCUUAAAAAUCACCUCUGUUUUUUUUUUCUUGGAAAUGAUAUGAUAUGAUAUUUGCAGAGAUCAAUUUUGUACCUAUAUCUGUUUAAUACAGAUUACGUUAUUUGGGCUCUCUCUCCUGCAAUGUUUAAUAAGAAUGGUAUAUAGUACUGUAAUGCUUAUCUUAUCCAAUGAGGAUAUAAGGCACUGCUUACAAUCAUUAUUGAAUCAUUUUUGCCAUAUCAUUACAUUUUUCUAACCCAAACAACAUUUUUUGAAAUGUUGUUUGGCUAGGGUGGCGAGAUGCAGAGGAGCCCGAGGUACAGGUGAAGGGAGAUGCUGGGUGUCAGGUCGAGCAACUAUGGUUGGGGUGGCUGUGUGAAGAAGAGAGAGGUAGGAAAGGAAGUGUUGGGCUAACUGAUGCUGCCGGGAUGAAUCAGGGAGAUUAGAGGAGAGAAGUUGAGAGAGAUUUCGGCGAUGUUCAGGAGAAGAGGAUUUCUCUAGCUAUGCCAACCCAAGAUGUGUGAUGCUCAAGAAGGUAUGUGAUGCUAACGCAUAUACAAAGAACGAGGUGUCUUGUUAAUUUGGUGGACAGUGCCCUUCUUAAAAUAAAUAUGUGGUGCCGUAGACAACUGAAGAAUUAUCACUUAUAGUUCCGUUAGGUUUGUUACCUCCGUUGUUCGGACACUUAAAUGUUUCACUGAGGAUUUUUUAAUCCAUCCGGCCAUCAGCUUAUACCUGGAUGUACCUUCAUGUUCUACAAAUCUAUUAAUUUAUCAUAGGACAAGCAGACGAUGGAAGUAGUAUAGUUUCUUGAAUUAUUACUAUGGUCCACCAAAUUUUUUAAUUACUGAAUCAGCAUAAGUUUUAUGUUUCUCUGUUGUAAUUCUUCUGUAGGCUGUUUUCUGUGUCUCUGCAAGUGCCUUUUUGCUCAGAUGCUUUUUUUACAGUGCAUCAAGUGGAGUUUAGUUCAUUCACCUCUCCACAUCUCCUCAAUUUCAUGAUUGUUCAGAUUGCUAACCGACGGACUAGAAGCAUGCCCACCUUUCUGUUCCUUUUAGUUCCAAAUAAUCUUUUUUUUCGAAUGAAUGCAUGCUUAUAGUAUUGAAAUAUAUUUUUUCUAUACUUGGUAGAUCAUAAACCGCCAAAUUACGCUGCUACUGGUGUGUUUACUGCUCCAUAAUUGAGUCAGUUUUGUGUGCAUUAUCUGAACAAUGUCAACGCUGCCUUCCUUCUGACAUACUAUUUUGGCUGUUGAUCGAUGUUGCGGCUGCUGCGGCUGGUGGUGCUCUGGGCACGCAAGGGGAGCGCGGCACACAAACUCCGCCUGCUCAAGACGUUGCGCCACAACCAUGCCGGCCUCGGUGUCAGGCGCAACGAUUGGUUUGCACUAUGGCGAACUAGAAUUCCCCAGCGCACACUUGCUCCAGUUUAUCCUCUACGGCAAUGGUCACUACUUCUGCGAUGCCCGUGAGAGGGAUGUGGACUGCAUCGAGGACUACUACGAUGGCGAGCAAAACGAGCACGGCCUGGAGAACCUCGAUGAUGGGCAGAUGAGCAGUUGCUCUAUAGUGGCAGGUCCUCGUGGCUGCAGUACAAUGACAUGAGAUGUGCUAGAUACAGUGCUAAGAUUGCAUGUUUAUUUGUCGAUCUUGAUACCCUUUUGGACAA